rnacentral:rRNA from 1 species
UAUUCUUCUCAGGGAAUAAUAAAAAUGACGGGUACCUGAAAUCAGCAUCGGCUAACUCCGUGCCAGCAGCCGCGGUAAUACGGAGGAUGCAAGCGUUAUCCGGAAUGAUUGGGCGUAAAGCGUCCGCAGGUGGCUGUGUAAGUCUGCUGUCAAAGAGCGAAGCUCAACUUCGUAAAGGCAGUGGAAACUACACGGCUAGAGUGCGUUCGGGGCAGAGGGAAUUCCUGGUGUAGCGGUGAAAUGCGUAGAGAUCAGGAAGAACACCGGUGGCGAAGGCGCUCUGCUAGGCCGCAACUGACAACUGAGGAUUGGAAAAAUA